GUGUUUAAUAGAGAAUUUGUGUUGGUGCAGAUGAAGAUCUAUGCAGUGAGAAGAUCACCAAAUCCAGUGACGACAUACAGCUCCAAAAAUUCGUGGAAACAUUAAAUAUGCCUUCAGUUUUUGUACAUUUAAAAGAAAGAGCACGUAAGGGAAGUAGUUCCAUCAUUAGAGAUGCUAUUUGAAAAUUCACAUACAGGAACUCCGACAAUUGACACCAAUGUUUUGCCACAUUUACACAUGGAAUCUUCUAUAUGUAUUUUAUAUUUAAGUAUUCAUUCGUAUUGUAUUUAAAAAAUAAAUGUAAAAAAUAAUGAAA